rnacentral:tRNA from 1 species
GCGUCGGUGGUUCAGUGGUAGAAUACUCGCCUGCCACGCGGGUGACCCGGGUUCGAUUCCCGGCCGACGCG